rnacentral:rRNA from 1 species
AGUGAACGCUGGCGGUAGGCCUAACACAUGCAAGUCGAACGGCAGCACAGUAAGAGCUUGCUCUUACGGGUGGCGAGUGGCGGACGGGUGAGGAAUACAUCGGAAUCUACUUUUUCGUGGGGGAUAACGUGGGGAAACUUACGCUAAUACCGCAUACGACCUACGGGUGAAAGCAGGGGAUCUUCGGACCUUGCGCGAUUGAAUGAGCCGAUGUCGGAUUAGCUAGUUGGCGGGGUAAAGGCCCACCAAGGCGACGAUCCGUAGCUGGUCUGAGAGGAUGAUCAGCCACACUGGAAAUGAGACACGGUCCAGACUCCUACGGGAGGCAGCAGUGGGGAAUAUUGGACAAUGGGCGCAAGCCUGAUCCAGCCAUACCGCGUGGGUGAAGAAGGCCUUCGGGUUGUAAAGCCAUUUUGUUGGGAAAGAAAAGCAGCAGGUUAAUACCCAGCUGUUCUGACGGUACCCAAAGAAGAAGCACCGGCUAACUUCGU